rnacentral:ncRNA from 2 species
GAGGGUGGGCCCCUCGAAACCGCCUUGCAGGGGGAGGUUUCAAACCAGCGUAUGCGGCUUGGGUUAACAGCCCUGGUCGUGAGCGAUACGUGAAAAGUCGGUCAGAAGGCCGGCAGGU